rnacentral:rRNA from 1 species
GUAGGUGGCAAGCGUUGUCCGGAAUUAUUGGGCGUAAAGCGCGCGCAGGCGGUUCUUUAAGUCUGAUGUGAAAGCCCACGGGCUCAACCGUGGAGGGUCAUUGGAAACUGGAGAACUUGAGUACAGAAGAGGAAAGCGGAAUUCCACGUGUAGCGGUGAAAUGCGUAGAGAUGUGGAGGAACACCAGUGGCGAAGGCGGCUUUCUGGUCUGUAACUGACGCUGAGGCGCGAAAGCGUGGGGAGCAAACAGGAUUAGAUACCCUGGUAAUCCACGCCGUAAACGAUGAGUGCUAAGUGUUAGGGGGUUUCCGCCCCUUAGUGCUGCAGCUAACGCAUUAAGCACUCCGCCUGGGGAGUACGGCCGCAAAGGCUG